rnacentral:lncRNA from 1 species
GAAUAUACAGGAUGAAGAGGCUCCAGGUUGUGUCUGUGGCCUCUGGACGUUACGGGAACUGUCCCUCCCUGACCGGUGGGGUCCGGGCUUAUGUGGAUGGGUGACCCAGGACCUCGGGGGCUGGGCAAGGUGCUGUGGAGCAGCAGGGCAGCACUGAGAGCCACUUCCCUUGACUGAGUGGACAAGGGGCAGCCUCCCUUUCUGCCUCCUACAGCACACAGCUGCCAGCCCUGUCCCACCCCUCAGACCUUAGCUCUGCCCAUAACUGCUGCUCCAGUGACUUUCCAAAGAUGCUGUCAUUCCCUCUAGAUGAGAGCAGAUCAGAGUCACUCUCCUAACUGUCCUGGGCCCACACAUGUCCUGAUCCUUCUCCCUUCUCACUUCCAGGUGGCUGUCAUUGUCUUUUCCUAUGGGUUCUUGCCUUGUGCCAGGCUUCUCCUGGAUCUGGAGGUGGUCAGGGCCAGACAGGAAGAAGGAAAGGCGAGAUUGGUCAGCUCUUUAGACAGUGUUGAAAAUGUGCCUCCUGGAGACAGCUCUGGACAGCUCUUCACAGGAGGUCAGGCCAUGCCUCGGGGCUGAGGCAGGAGCAUGGCCUUCACCACCAGGCUUUGCCUCCCGAGGCCUCUGCACAUGUGAGUCUGGGCUGUGUGGUGCCCUGCUUGCCCCUCUAUCCUUCUACCUCACCACAUCUCUUUCUCUGAGGACAUUUGCUUGGUUUCUCUGAGUUCCAACAGUCCUUCAGACAGUUGGGGGAGGAAAGAAGAGGAGAGACUGUGUCCCUGUCUCCCUUGGCCUUUGCCUUGGCUCCUCUUGCUGUCUGGUUCUUGUUGUCAACCUGCUUGGCCAACUGGAGGCUACUGAAUUCUGUCACAUGUCAGGCCACAGAUGCCCUCUGCCCACCAAAUAAAAAAAGGAAGUGCUGGGGAGAUGGCUCAGUGGUUAACGCUGCUUGCUCCCUUCUCAGGGCCAGAUCUCAGGCCCCCCAACCCCCUGUGAUAUGCCCAGCAUUCCUGCCAACUUCCAACUCCUGGAAUCCCAAGUGUGGAGGGGUGGAGACAGGAGGAUAUCUGGGACUUGCCUGCUUUUAGCCUAGUAGAGAUGUGAACCCAGGGCUCAGGAAGAAACCCUGCUUUAAGGGACAAUGCAGAGUGACUGAGGAGGAUG